rnacentral:lncRNA from 1 species
UCUCUCUCUCUGCGGAAGCCAGCCACCGCUCUCCAAGGACUCUCGAGCAGCUCCAUCUACAGAUUCACAUGGAGAAGAAUUAAGGGUUCCUGCCAAUCACCAGCACCACUUUGCCAGCCUUGUAAGUGGGCCACCUUGGAAUUGGAGCCUCCAGUUCCUACUGACAUCUGACUGCAACAUCAUGAGAGACCCUGAGUUUGAACCACCCAGCUGAGCUGCUUCUGAGCUAACCCACUGAAACCGUUCCUUAGAUCCUGGGAUGAGGAGGUGGACCAGCAGAAGGUGGGCUUGUGAAGGCAGCCCGGGGUCCAAAUCCUCCUGGCUCUUCAGCUUAGCGGGGUUGCUUAGACUCAGUGGUGUGCUGGAGCAGGCUCCUACCAGCUAGAAAGAACCAGUUCAAUACGUCUCUUCUCAACUCCAUGUUCAGAGUUGUCAGAGAACCAAUUGUUAAAUAUUUACUGGCACUCCACUGCUUAGAUUUUACCAGUGCUUGCAGUGCUAACCAGGAGCUCAUCCCUGGAGGAGAGGCAGAGAAUGUGUACUCCCAGAUGCAGCCAGCUUCCAGAAGAAGAGGUAGGAGCCAAGCAGAGCAUGCCCACAUCAAUCUUCCAGCAUUUAAUGGCCAUAGAAGUUACUGAACCUCCCUUGGAUGGAUAGAAGAUGGCAUUAUCUUUCUUAAAUAUGAUACCUCUUAUCUUUUUGUUCCCUUGACACUUGAGGAGGGAGGCCAAGGGUUGAUCAUGCAAGCAAGUUUGUGCAUUUUGCACAUUUAUUAAGUUAUGCUUUUGAGGAAAUUAAAAGAUCACAAGGGCUUCAA